AGAAGACACGACACAGGUGUCAUGUCUGCCGUCGACCAGUGUGCCCUCGCCAUUACUACCCUGCCUGUACUGACUGCAUGUAAGGCAUAAGUUAUCAGUGAUGCAGGAAGACAUGUCCCAGGAAUGGGUGGACCAAAGACCAAGUUCCCAGCAGCAUUAUUUUUUUUGUUAGGACAUUACCUGUUAAGGAUUACCUGAUUUUCCAAUAAUUUUUCUGCUUUUUUAUAGGGUCAUCCAUGGUAUCUUUUUUUUAUUUUAUGUGAUGUUGUAUGUUGUAAAAUUAAAGAAGGGUUCCAAAA